rnacentral:rRNA from 1 species
UCAUAUAGUCAAACCCCUGUGACAUACCUAUACGUUGCCUCGGCGGAUCAGCCCGCGCCCCGUAAAACGGGACGGCCCGCCCGAGGACCCUAAACUCUGUUUUUAGUGGAACUUCUGAGUAAAACAAACAAAUAAAUCAAAACUUUCAACAACGGAUCUCUUGGUUCUGGCAUCGAUGAAGAACGCAGCAAAAUGCGAUAAGUAAUGUGAAUUGCAGAAUUCAGUGAAUCAUCGAAUCUUUGAACGCACAUUGCGCCCGCCAGUAUUCUGGCGGGCAUGCCUGUUCGAGCGUCAUUUCAACCCUCAAGCUCAGCUUGGUGUUGGGACUCGCGGUAACCCGCGUUCCCCAAAUCGAUUGGCGGUCACGUCGAGCUUCCAUAGCGUAGUAAUCAUACACCUCGUUACUGGUAAUCGUCGCGGCCACGCCGUAAAACCCCAACUUCUGAAUGUUGACCUCGGAUCAGGUAGGAAUACCCGCUGAACUUAAGCAUAUCAAUAAGCGGAGGAAA